rnacentral:lncRNA from 1 species
UUAUGGAUUUUUUUAAUAUAAAACAAAGUUUACGAAAAAUUUUUUUUCCACUUUUUGUAUUUGUAAUCCCAUUAGCACAGGGACUUUGGCAGCAGGUGGGAGUGAAGGGCAGCUGGAGCUGCCACUGGGCAGUCACCGGGCACAGGAGGAGAGCACCAGCCUGGGAGUGGCUUCACUCACACACGCAGGAAUACUCACCUACUGGUCAGCCACACCACACACACAACACAGAUGCAGAUGUCUACCCAGCGUCAACCACAACCCUGUAUAGGUGUGCUCCACUCUGGGUAAGCCCAAUAUGUGAAAAUCCAAAUAGUCAAAACAGCUAAAGUAGAGGGAGGUUGCUUGCUUUACAAAAGAAGCAAUCACACAGGCUGCUUUUUAAUGGUCGGCAGUCCAAAUGCAUUGCAAAAUAGCAUUUGGCUUAUACAGAACUUUUGGAACAGAUCUACUGUGUAAAGCAAAAUGAACCACUUCUUGAAAAGGCUUGUCCCAGGGUCAUGGGUGCUCAGAUUGGGAAGCAAGAUGACAGUUUCAACUAAUUUAACUUUCCAGAUCUUAAUGUAAUAGAAUUCAAAUAUGAUUAUCUGUAGACCUUCUCCCCUAAGGAUGGCACCCUGGGGCUUUGGGGAAGCCAGGGUAGAGGCAGAAUUACUGCCCUCACUUCUUGAGCUUGGGGCUUACAGAGACACCACUGGUCUUGCUAGUGGCCUAUUGGAAGCUGGCACAGCCAAUAUGCAGCAGAGAGCCCAGGCAUAAGGAUGCCCCAGGAGGAAAAGAAGCUGGCACCAGGGAAAUUAUGGCCUAAAGAAGAAGAGCCAAGGGAGGGAUGAAACCAAGGAUGGGCAACUACUGGGCUCACAGUUUCCCUGGAUUCUCCAGACAGCCUUUCUCAGGCCCCUACAGACUUGGUAGCUCACUGGUAAUACAUGGUAACUAGCAGGAGAAGGGGAAGAGCCCUGGAAGGGUAGAACCUUUGAGGGCCAGAGCCUCAAGAAGAAAUGGCCACCUCCCCUGGAGUGGAGGUGAGAGGGCUGCAGCGUCAGUGAUGUUCCUAUGUGACAUGUGGGAAACCAAGAAAAUGACAGGUUCAAUCCCAUGAGGAAGAAAACAUGUGGACUUUGGUCUUCUCCCCUUACCAUGAGGAACGGGGUCCUAAGACACCCUGGAAAUCCAAGAGAAUGCCCUUCCUCCAAUAAACAAGAAGGGCAGGUCCAAUUCAGUCGUGCAGGGUCUAACCAAAGCCGGACAAAGCCUAACAAGCUAUUUGGCGGCUGCUUCAGUAUAUCUUCACUGGUGCCAGCCCUACCAAGGGUCCUACAGUCGUUAAACCCAUCCCUGCAGCCACUGGGACCUGCUGCCCUGGCUUAAGUUAUGGGCGAGAAACAAAAAAAGGAAAUUCAAUCCAACAACAACAAUUCCCAGCUGCUUCUCACAGCCUUUGCUUUACACAACCUCAGCCAACCCCUUAGUGAGCCCCAACCUCCCUGAGGUCUCUCAGGUCCAAUUAGAAGCAAAUAAACAUUUCUAGGCAGGAAUGGAAGACAAGCAAACUAGUAAAUGCUGACAUCCCCUUCCUCUUUGUCAAGCAGGUCUGAAAAGAGGUUAGACCUGGAUCUAAUGACAACAGGUUUCCCUAUAGUCUGUUUCCAAAAGAUAGUGCUGGAAUGAGCUUACCCAUGCUUACUGGGGACUGAAUGCCACUUCUGCUGCAGGUUGGCCUUAGAUGAUGAGGGCCAACACAGGGCCUUUCCUCCUUGUUCUUGACCCUCGAAGCUCAGAAUGUGAGGGGAAAAAAUCCCAUCAGUAGAGAGGGAAAGAGAAAAAUGGAGCCAUCCAACCAUGCCUCAGUUGUCCACAGGUGCUUACAUCUACUUAGAGAAAGAGGCAGGUUGUACAUAGCCUAGGCAAUCUGCUAAGAAAAAAAGGCCAGCUCAGAAUCAACGUAGAGAGCCCUCUCCAGCCCUAAUAUUAGACCUAUCUAGGGAAGGGGACGGGUCGAAGACAAAGACCAUUAGCCAAGGUCACAGCACUUAAAAGACCCUGCAUCCCCCAAAAGAGAGUCCUUUGCAGAGCCAACAGUGCUUAUGGAUUAUCAGCUCUGAAACCAAGCUACUUAGAAAAAAGAAAAACUUGGUGCCCUCCUCUUGACUCCUUGAAUAAGCCUGCUAUCCCGUGCAAACUCAAGAUCCUGGGGGUAUCAUGAUGCUCUGCUGUUAUGGAGCAACUGCCUUCCUUCCCUAAGGCUACGCAAACACACCUUUCCCCAAGUACACUCCCACGCACGCGCACACUCUCACACAAUUUCUCCAAGGAGGCUGAAUGAACCCCCCACCCUGGCCAAAUUCUAAGACACAAGUGCCCUUUGAAGCAAAGGGGCUAGUGAAAUUCCCCGAGCUGGGGUCAGCAGACCCCUUCCUUCCCUGCCCAUUGCUUUUUCGGUGGCAGGGAUACUCACACUCAGGGCCGCCAUGGGAAGGGUCUGCUCUGGGACUGUCCCUCCCGCCACCAGCUCCGUUUAUCUUGUCCCGGCCAGUCUCUUGGCAUGGUCGAGCUUCCUGGAGCGAGAAGAUUUCCGGCUGCCCUGAGUCGGAGCCCUCCACUCACCCCCAUUCCCAGGCUGGGCCCCUGGCCUUGGG